UGCAAACUAUGACUAGUCACCCUGUGACUGU
rnacentral:piRNA from 1 species